GUCUCAACGAGGCUCGGUCUCUGCUCCAUGGGCCCCUCAUCCCCACAUCCAGGCUGAGGGGCAGCCCUCACCAGGACAGGCCAAAAAGCUGGGCCUGGAACACACACUCCUGGUGAUUCUGGACCACAUCUUGAACACCGCUGCCUGGAGUAGUUUUAAAAGGCCAGUGUGCAGGAUUAAACAUUGUUCCUGGCAGAUGAAUAAUUCCAUGGUACAUCUAAGACCUCCAAAGACGGGCUUCCAUGUGCCCUGGCCCGACGCUGGCAACAACAGCCCUGGAUGAUCUGGAAGAACUCUUGUUCGGGGAGUGACUGAGCAGGCCCGGGGGACCCUCUCCAAGGACCCCAAAGCAAGCUUUUCUCCUGGAGUAAUUAACUCAUCAAUAUUGGAAGUGCAGCAAACAUUUUCUCCCAAUCGGUCAUUUGUGUUGUAACCAUGAUGUUUUCCAUCAUACACAAACUUUCAAUAUUUUGGGGUGGUAAAAUCUGUUUAUCUUUUCCCUUAUUAGAUCUUUUAGGUUUCGUGUUAUGUUUAAAACAGAGCCUCCCACACCAGAGAUAUAAUAAUCUCCUGUAUUUCCUUCA